rnacentral:rRNA from 1 species
CGGCGUGCUUAACACAUGCAAGUCGAACGAACCUUCGGGUUAGUGGCGGACGGGUGAGUAACGCGUGAGAAUCUGCCCUCAGGAGGGGGACAACAGCUGGAAACGGCUGCUAAUACCCCAUAUGCCGCGAGGUGAAAUGAAUUUCGCCUGAGGAUGAGCUCGCGUCUGAUUAGCUAGUUGGUGUAGGUAAUGGCUCACCAAGGCGUCGAUCAGUAGCUGGUCUGAGAGGAUGAUCAGCCACACUGGGACUGAGACACGGCCCAGACUCCUACGGGAGGCAGCAGUGGGGAAUUUUCCGCAAUGGGCGAAAGCCUGACGGAGCAACGCCGCGUGAGGGAUGAAGGCCUCUGGGCUGUAAACCUCUUUUAUCAAGGAAGAAGAUCUGACGGUACUUGAUGAAUAAGCCACGG